rnacentral:tRNA from 1 species
CUCGGAUUAGCUCAGUCUGGUAGAGCGCUGGUUUUGGGAAUCAGAGGCCAAAGUUUCAAAUACUUUAUCCGAGA